rnacentral:lncRNA from 1 species
ACUUGAGCGUCAGAAGUCUCCACUAGAAACUUUCCGGUGGUCUCUUAAACGUAUUUUUCAUUUUAUAGGUUCCAUUACUUAAAACCAAGUAUAGAGAGAUCUAACAGACGGAUUACAGAAAAAUAAUCAAUUCAGUGAAUUAGACCUCUACUUAGAUGUCCUCGUCUGAACGUUUCACCCGAUUUCACUAAUACCAAAUGAGUAAUCUAAAUAGUAAUGACAAAUGCCGGUGCGUCAGAAAUUCUCCAAUCUGAUUCCAUU